AUUCAACUUAGUUGCAUCGAAAGGAUUUCUCUCUCUACAUAUUAAUCUCCUUGUGCCCUUCUCUAGCCUGAACUGUUAGUUUAAACUUGAGUGCAGUGAAAGAGUCUCUCUCUACAUAUCAAUCUCCUUGUGCCUUUUUCUCGCCUGAACUGUUAGUUUAAACUUAUUUACUCUCUACCUGUGAAUCUCAUUGCGUGUUUUGAACUGUUAUACCCUUUUUGAACAGUUAGUUUAAACUAUAUAUCAAUCCCAUUUUACCCUUUCUCGCCUGAACGGUCCGAAUACUUUGGUUGAGUUGAUUUUCAGUCCGAAUACCUUGGUUGAGUCGAUUUUCUGAACUGUCCGAAUACUUUGGUUGAGUUGAUUUUCAGUCCGAAUACCUUGGUUGAGUCGAUUUUCUGAACGGUCCGAAUACUUUGGUUGAGUCGAUUUUUAGUCCGAACACCUUGGUCGAGUCGAUUUUCUGAACACUGGUUUAAACACAAUUG
rnacentral:lncRNA from 1 species